GGCGGCGUGCCUAACACAUGCAAGUCGAGCGCGCAGCCACUGGUAGCAAUACCGGUGGUGGGCGAGCGGCGAACGGGUGCGUAACACGUGGGCAACCUGCCCCAGACUCUGGGAUAACUCCGGGAAACCGGGGCUAAUACCGGAUACUCUCGGCGAACCGCAUGAUCUGCCGAGGAAAGCUCCGACGGUCUGGGAUGGGCCCGCGGCCUAUCAGCUUGUUGGUGAGGUAACGGCCCACCAAGGCGACGACGGGUAGCUGGUCUGAGAGGACGGCCAGCCACACUGGGACUGAGAUACGGCCCAGACUCCUACGGGAGGCAGCAGUGGGGAAUAUUGCACAAUGGGCGAAAGCCUGAUGCAGCGACGCCGCGUGAGGGAUGAAGGCCUUCGGGAUGUAAACCUCACAAGCA
rnacentral:rRNA from 1 species